UGGGGAAUAUUGGACAAUGGGCGCAAGCCUGAUCCAGCCAUGCCGCGUGAGUGAUGUAGGCACUAGGGUUGUAAAGCUCUUUCACCGGUGAAGAUAAUGACGGUAACCGGAGAAGAAGCCCCGGCUAACUUCGUGCCAGCAACCGCGGUAAUACGAAGGGGGCUAGCGUUGUUCGGGUUUACUGGGCGUAAAGCGCACGUAGGCGGACUAUUAAGUCAGGGGUGAAAUCCCGGGGCUCAACCCCGGAACUGCCUUUGAUACUGGUAGUCUUGAGUUCGAGAGAGGUGAGUGGUAUUCCGAGUGUAGAGGUGAAAUUCGUAGAUAUUCUGAGGAACACCAGUGGCGAAGGCUGCUCGCUUACUCGUUACUGACGCUGAGGUGCGAAAGCGGGGGGAGCAAACAGG
rnacentral:rRNA from 1 species